CUCCUCUUAGCUCAGUUGGUAGAGUGCCCUGUUUGGAACGGGGAAGUCGAAGGUUCGAGUCCUUCAGGGGUGA
rnacentral:tRNA from 1 species